GACGAACGCUGGCGGCGUGCUUAACACAUGCAAGUCGAACGGAAAGGCCCUGCUUUUGUGGGGUGCUCGAGUGGCGAACGGGUGAGUAACACGUGAGUAACCUGCCCUUGACUUUGGGAUAACUUCAGGAAACUGGGGCUAAUACCGGAUAGGAGCUCCUGCUGCAUGGUGGGGGUUGGAAAGUUUCGGCGGUUGGGGAUGGACUCGCGGCUUAUCAGCUUGUUGGUGGGGUAGUGGCUUACCAAGGCUUUGACGGGUAGCCGGCCUGAGAGGGUGACCGGCCACAUUGAGACUGAGAUACGGCCCAGACUCCUACGGGAGGCAGCAGUGGGGAAUAUUGCACAAUGGGCGGAAGCCUGAUGCAGCAACGCCGCGUGCGGGAUGACGGCCUUCUGGUUGUAAACCGCUUUCGCCUGUGACGAAGCGUGAGUGACGGUAAUGGGUAAAGAAGCACCGGCUAACUACGUG
rnacentral:rRNA from 1 species